UAUGGUAAAGCAGCCGCGGUAAUACGUAUGGAGCAAGCGUUAUCCGGAUUUACUGGGUGUAAAGGGAGUGUAGGUGGCCAUGCAAGUCAGAAGUGAAAAUCCGGGGCUCAACCCCGGAACUGCUUUUGAAACUGUGAGGCUAGAGUGCAGGAGGGGUGAGUGGAAUUCCUAGUGUAGCGGUGAAAUGCGUAGAUAUUAGGAGGAACACCAGUGGCGAAGGCGGCUCACUGGACUGUAACUGACACUGAGGCUCGAAAGCGUGGGGAGCAAACAGG
rnacentral:rRNA from 1 species